CAACUCCCCAGCGCAUGUUGGAAAAGGGCUACCAUCGCACCAGGAAACAUGCCGUGAAGGACUCCAUUAUCACGGAGCUGAUAGAGGAGAUGGCAGAAAAAUUAGAUAGGAGGCCCACAAAGGCAUCUAUUCAAAAAAAAUGGUGCGAUUUAAAGCGCCACCAUAUGGAUCGCAUCCAUAAAGAAAGUGAGAGAAUAUGCCCAGGAGAUCCUGUUCCAACAGUAAAAAAAUGGAAAUCGCAGGAGACGGUG